AAUAGAUACCCAGGUAGUCCACGCCCUAAACGAUGCUCACUAGGUGUUGGGGAAGCGAUUCCUUGGUACCGUAGCUAACGCGUGAAGUGAGCCGCCUGGGGAGUACGGCCGCAAGGUUAAAACUCAAAGGAAUUGACGGGGACCCGCACAAGCGGUGGAUGAUGUGGAUUAAUUCGAUGCAACGCGAACAACCUUACCUACCCUUGACAUGUCCGGAAGCCUGCUGAAAGGUGGGUGUGCUCGAAAGAGAACCGGAACACAGGUGCUGCAUGGCUGUCGUCAGCUCGUGUCGUGAGAUGUUGGGUUAAGUCCCGCAACGAGCGCAACCCUUGUCCCUAGUUGCUACGCAAGGGCACUCUAGGGAGACUGCCGGUGACAAACCGGAGGAAGGUGGGGAUGACGUCAAGUCCUCAUGGCCCUUAUGGGUAGGGCUUCACACGUCAUACAAUGGACGGUACAGAGGGUUGCCAACCCGGCGAGGGGGAGCCAAUCCCAGAAAGCCGUUCGUAGUCCGGAUCGCAGUCUGCAACUCGACUG
rnacentral:rRNA from 1 species